rnacentral:misc_RNA from 1 species
GACGCCCACCUCGGCGCCGGUGCCGACCCCGACGUCGGCGUCGGGCCCCAACAACCCCGUCGCCAUGAGCCAGCUGGGGACCGUCUACGCCACCAAGAGACGGCGUCGGAACGGAAAAAGCUUAAAACCACCACAGAAAGACGGGGUGACAAAAUCGAAUCCCAGCAAACGACAUCGGGAACGAUUGAACGCCGAGCUAGAUACGCUAGCGUCAUUACUUCCUUUCGAGCAAAAUAUCCUCAGCAAGCUGGAUCGACUCAGCAUCCUCAGACUCAGCGUAAGCUACCUCCGCACCAAGAGCUACUUUCAAAUUGUAAUGCAGAAGGAUAAAGAGGAGAAUUCACACCACGACUCGCACUACAGGGCGAGAGAGCUGGCAGCUCUCGCUGCUUACGACCAUCAUCACCUCGACGGCGAAAUGUUCCUACAGGCACUGAACGGGUUCCUGCUAAUAUUGACUUGCGACGGGGAAGUGUUUUUCGCUACCCACAGCAUAGAGAGUUAUCUAGGCUUCCAUCAGUCUGACAUCGUCCAUCAGAGUGUCUACGAACUGGUGCAUAGCGAGGACCGGGAGGAAUUGCAGCGGCAAUUAAUGUGGAAUUCUUUCCUGCCUGCCGAAAGUGCAAGUCUGCCCUUGCACGAUGCACUUUCACCCCAGCAUUGUCACCUGCUGGAGCGCAGCUUUACAGUUCGCUUCCGUUGUCUGUUGGACAAUACAUCCGGCUUUCUCCGUCUCGACAUCAGGGGCCGAGUUAAAGUACUUCAUGGUCAGAACCGGAAGACGGAAGAGCCGCCGUUGGCCCUGUUCGCCCUGUGCACACCAUUCGGGCCUCCUUCGCUCUUAGAAGUGCCGCAGAAGGAAGUAAUGUUUAAAAGCAAGCAUAAAUUGGAUCUCGCGCUCGUAACGAUGGAUCAAAGAGGAAAGAUGCUCUUAGGCUAUUCUGACGCGGAACUAACGAAUCUCGGUGGCUACGAUCUAGUCCAUUACGACGACUUGGCUUACGUCGCUAGUGCGCAUCAAGAAUUAUUGAAAACUGGUGCAUCAGGUAUGAUAGCCUAUAGAUUUCAAACGAAAGACGGCGGAUGGCAGUGGCUGCAAACUAGCUCUAGAUUGGUCUACAAAAAUUCGAAACCAGAUUUUGUACUCAGUACUCAUCGGCCUCUCAUGGAAGAAGAAGGUCGAGACUUGCUCGGCAAACGUACGAUGGAUUUCAAAGUGAGCUAUUUGGAUGCUGGAUUGACCAACAGCUACUUUUCGGAUAGUGACAGUUUAACGGGAUCAGUUAUGACGCCGACGUUACCGGCACAGCCGGCACCUCAGAGAGGGAAUAGACGAUACAAGACGCAUCUGCGAGACUUUCUUUCGACAUGCCGAAGCAAACGUAGCAAACUCUCCGCUCAAUCGUCGGUCUCGCCACCGGUGACUCCCACAGUCGCGUCCGUGGAUUAUCUUGCGGCGGACACCAGCGCAGCAGCCGCAGUUGCGGCAGCCUAUAGCAAUUUAAAUACCAUGUAUCCGACGCCGUAUGCGCCAACAGCAGUAGCGGCUAGUACCGAUCCUUCCUUGACGACUUACAUCGGUCACACGGGCAACUAUCAUCAAACGCUCUAUCCAGCAACUGCCUUAGAUAACAGAUAUCUCACGGCUGCAACAGAGAAUCUAUUCCAAUAUAGGCCGCUGGGCUCAUAUUAUCCAGAAUAUCACACCGGCACUACGUACAAUGGCUUCAUCGACGUAUCGUUGCCCACAUACGAGACUCAUCAGUUGACUAGCAAGACAGAAGAGAAACUCUACUGCCAACAACUGAGCAGUAACGAAUCGCCCAAAUAUAGCUAUGUGGAAACGAGACAUCCCGGUAGCGUCAGCGGUUCGCCAUACGCUGCCAGUCCAGUAGCGAGCGCAUCUACGAUGCAUCCAGCGACGACCGACAUGAAUGUUGUACGCGCCGGAAGCAGACAUUCACUAGAAGGCGCGUCGUCCAGCAAUUCCGCUGGCAGUUCACCAGUGACCGGCGCAGCCAACGGUAUGUUGACACCGAAGAUAGAGGACGUAAAGCCCGAAGUGUACAGUAACGAGGCGCCACGGCAGACCGUGCUGAUGUGGGGCGCGCCGCCAUCGCGCACGCCACCCAGAAACAAUGGCAGCUAUAGCCCGCCGACACCACACUCGACUCAUUCUUCCACGCACUCGACCAACACCACUGGCGAUCCGCUAAAAUCGCUGGCGGAGAUGAAUUCCAUGAAUGGAGAUUGCAAAUGGCGGCAAACCUCCCCUACGGAUCAACAGUCAAGCCCGCCAAGAAAUAAUAAAACGCAACAAUCUCAGCAACAGCAACAUCAUCACCAGCAGCAACAACACCAACAGUAUCCGGUGACCACGUCUCAGUAUCAAGCGGCUGCAGUCGCUGCCGCGGCAGCCGCCAGCACCAUUGGUUACACGCAUUCUCAUCCAGGUCAUGGCGGGCACGGAGAAGCGGGCUCCGAGGUAUGGCAAGGAGUGCAACAUCACUACCAGUACUAUCCCUACCACCAUCACCACCCCGCACCACCAAGGCACACGCCCCACACGCCACCGUCAGUUGCGGGAACGGGGACGGGGGUGGGAACAGGCAUGGGCAUGGGCACCGUGGCGGACAACAACACCAACAACAGCAACAACGUCUUAUACCACCCUCCGCACCACCACCACCACGUAGUGGGAUCAUCAGCGGCAACAGCGGGAAUGGGCCCGCCUGUUCCACAGAUUCCAAACCGGACGCCGGGAGUCCUCUGUUGUCCAUCUCUGAGGUGACUAACACCCUGCUCAACCAAUAGUCCCUUUGUAACCUCGGCGUCGCUUUAUAUCAGUGAUGAAGGUAUCUCUGAAAGGAUAUCUUCACCGAAGCGGAUUCCAAAACACGUCACUGUACCAUACAGAUAAUUGUCGAUUACAAGAAUUAAGAGUAUUCUUAUUAAGAGUAUUCUAUUAGUACUGUAACAUACUCAUUACAAAAGUAAUAACCAGUCUACUAUUACAUAACUUUCAUUGUAUUGAUUUAUCUGAUACGUUAAGUGGAUAUUCUUCAGGAUUCAUAGUUUGAGUCUGCAUGUACACUGAUCAUGAUCUUAUGUACGUAAGGGGCAGCGAUCACACACAAAGCGCAUAUCUUACAAUUUCAUUUUUGCAAUUAUAGAAUGCAAUUAAUGAGUAGCAAUAGUACUUCAUUGCAGAAUGAAUAAAA